AGUGAACGCUGGCGGUAGGCCUAACACAUGCAAGUCGAACGGCAGCACAGUAAGAUCUUGCUCUUACGGGUGGCGAGUGGCGGACGGGUGAGGAAUACAUCGGAAUCUACUUUUUCGUGGGGGAUAACGUAGGGAAACUUACGCUAAUACCGCAUAUGACCUACGGGUGAAAGCAGGGGAUCUUCGGACCUUGCGCGAUUGAAUGAGCCGAUGUCGGAUUAGCUAGUUGGCGGGGUAAAGGCCCACCAAGGCGACGAUCCGUAGCUGGUCUGAGAGGAUGAUCAGCCACACUGGAACUGGGACACGGUCCAGACUCCUACGGGAGGCAGCAGUGGGGAAUAUUGGACAAUGGGCGCAAGCCUGAUCCAGCCAUACCGCGUGGGUGAAGAAGGCCUUCGGGUUGUAAAGCCCUUUUGUUGGGAAAGAAAAGCAGCAGGUUAAUACCCCGCUGUUCUGACGGUACCCAAAGAAUAAGCACCGGCUAACUUCGUG
rnacentral:rRNA from 1 species